UAUUGGGCAAUGGGCGAAAGCCUGACCCAGCGACGCCGCGUGAGGGAAGAAGGUCUUCGGAUUGUAAACCUCUUUCAGCAGGGAAGCAGAAAGUGACGGUACCUGCAGAAGAAGUCACGGCUAACUACGUGCCAGCAGCCGCGGUAAUACGUAGGUGGCGAGCGUUAUCAGGAAUUACUGGGUGUAAAGGGUGUGUAGGCGGGAGUGCAAGUCAGACGUGAAAACUAUGGGCUCAACCCAUAACGUGCGUUUGAAACUGUUCUUCUUGAGAGUGGGAGAGGUAAACGGAAUUCCUGGUGUAGUAGUGAAAUGCGUAGAUAUCAGGAGGAACACCGGUGGCGAAGGCGGUUUACUGGACCACAACUGACGCUGAGACACGAAAGCGUGGGGAGCAAACAGG
rnacentral:rRNA from 1 species